UACGGGGGGAGCAAGCGUUGUUCGGAUUUACUGGGCGUAAAGGGCGCGUAGGCGGCCUCCGCAAGUCAGUUGUGAAAUCUCCGAGCUUAACUCGGAAAGGUCAACUGAUACUGCGGGGCUAGAGUGCGGAAGGGGCAACUGGAAUUCUUGGUGUAGCGGUGAAAUGCGUAGAUAUCAAGAGGAACACCUGCGGCGAAGGCGGGUUGCUGGGCCGACACUGACGCUGAGGCACGAAAGCUAGGGGAGCGAACGGG
rnacentral:rRNA from 1 species